AGAAAGCGGAGUUAAGUGGACUUAACCACUUGACUAAAGACCACGUCUAUCUACUACACUCAAGUACGUCCAUUCCAAUAUAAUCACUAGAGAGACUUUAACAAACUAUCCAGAAAAGUGGAUCUUCAUUAUAUAGUCAAGUUUCUAGUCUCGUAUAAGGAGGUAUGGUGAGACUCUCUCUCUAUCAAUUCUAUAGCGAGUUUGGAUUGUAGCGUCAAUUUUGAGCUUCUUUACCAUGUUAUGAGAAUUCUCAAUGGACUUGAUAGAAAAUAUAUAAUGCUUUUAGAUUAAUAAAAUUUAUAAAUCACCACACUUACAAGCUAA